rnacentral:tRNA from 1 species
GGGGUGGUGGCGCAGUUGGCCAGUGCGUAGGUCUCAUAAUCCUGAGGUCGAGAGUUUGAGCCUCUCUCACCCCA